rnacentral:misc_RNA from 1 species
UUCAAUUGUUGGCUCGAGCGUUUGCUCGUCCGAYUCCGGUUUYCCUGUGCUGGCUACCUAUCGAGACGGMAUUGAGUCGGCUAUAAUCGUUCUUUUCCCACCUCGUUCUGCCGCUCCACCUGGGGCGGCGGCACAAGGUGGGCCAAAUCRCGCACGUUGCRUGUCGCACCGCGUUCGCCKUCACCGGCGUUCGGGUUGACGACCCGCAGCGUUAUGCUYGAUCUCUCGGGURCGGUGCAUGAUGUGGGUACGAGGCCSWCGGCCUCCGAUCUCCACAAACAAGCGUUCUAGCGCUUCGUGCGAACGACUGUCGGUUCGGAUUC